GCAGUUCAAAUUGCGAUACAACUGCUACGUGUGUAGCAGUUGUAUCGCAAUUUGAACUGCA
rnacentral:miRNA from 1 species